AAACAAGCUAGGCCUGGGUAGAAUCCUUUCUCUGUCAUUGGCGCAGGACCUAGGGUGAAUACAUGUCUUUUCACAACUCCCCAGAAAAAGCACAGAACAAUUUUGUGUUUAUUCUUCAAACAUUUUAAGAGCUAUGUCCUUCUUCAGCGAAUAUUUUUUGCCAUUUCUUACCCUCACCCAUCUCAUUUCUUACCCACACCUAUCUCCCUCCCAUUUCCUUUGCAUGAACUGUGACUCUUCUCCAGGAAUGGGCAGCAAUUCUGAUGAACACGCAUGAAAUUAUAAAGGUAUGGGGACCUUUUCUGGAGAAGACUUCCCAUAAUGCAACUCAAGGAUAAAGAAGUCAUUGACAAGUCCUGGUCUACUGGAAAAUAACUUGGAUGUCUGUUUGAAACCAUUUUCACGAAUAGAGACACAUACAGAAGAGCCAACAAAGACGUUUUUAUGCAGUGCUUCCUGGGGCUUUUGUGCUAAUGACAAGGGUGGUUAUAAAAUGUUCUUCAAUUUCUACACAUCUUCUAAAAGGGUGUGGAAGCAAAAAGGUAUUUCUUCCACUUAAUGAAUAAGAUGAAAUCUUCAGAUUCACAAACUGACAUCUUAUGAAAACAAAUGAGCUACAGCUACACAUUCAAAUGUUAAUGGGAUCAAGAACAAGGACAGUCAACAGGAAUGUGCUCUUCCUAUUGUAGGGAAAAUUUACCCAGUAAAAUAACUGCAACAAUCUGAAAUUCCAUGCUAUUUAAUUAGUUCCCCAAAUGCUCAUGAGCAAGUACCUCCUCCUGAGAACAAUGAGUACCUCAAGGGGGUGAAUUGCUUGCUUCCCAAAAGGUUGUUAAUUGUCAAGAUUUACUGAAAAACCUUCACCUUGCUGUAUCCACUAUUCCUAAACUAUUAUAUUGGCUACAUUCCCCAGUCCCAACUAGACCUCAUUAUUGAAAUACCCACCAAAAAUCCAAGCUCCAAAAUUUUGUGAAUCUAUGACCUUCAUUUCCCCAACCCAAGAUAUUAUUAAGAUUCUUUCAGAAAGACACUCCAUUUUUUGUAAAAUUCAAUUUGUUUACUCAGUUUAUUUCAAUGGCCUUUGGAAGAAAGUGUGUAUCAAUAGAGAGAGGCCAUGAAAACCUCCUUUCUUCUAGGAUUUUGAUAAGUUUCCCCAUAUUGACCAGUUCAACGUGGCCUCCCAAAAAUUAUUCUGAUAUGUUAUAUUGUUGAUACUCUGUGAACAAUAAACUAUCCUCUGAUCCAAC